rnacentral:rRNA from 1 species
GGCGAACGGCUGAGUAACACGUUGGAACCUACCCCGUACUCAGGGAUAACUCACCGAAAGGUGAGCUAAUACCGGAUGGUCUCGAAAGAGUAAAGAUUUAUCGGUACGGGAGGGGCCUGCGGCCUAUCAGGUAGUUGGUAAGGUAACGGCUUACCAAGCCUAUGACGGGUAGCUGGUGUGAGAGCAUGACCAGCCAGAAUGGGACUGAGACACGGCCCAUACUCC